CUAUAUCAACAGCAGUUACUGAUUCAGUCACUUUCAACACUUUCUAUUACAAGAAACUCAAUUUGGAGUAUCAAACAGUUACAACUGAAACUGGGACAUGCAUAAAGAACUCAUCUGACCUUCCUAAAUUUCAAGCUCUGUUUCUCUUAAUCUGAAACAUCAUGUAUUUGAGACAAUACAUUUAUAUCUUCUGAAUCUACAGCUCACAUGAUCCUUGAAUUAAAUGUUUGCAUGAAAACCAUCUCCUGGCUCCUAUUCUGGCACCAGAAAACUGUUUUAAGCAUCCAGCUGAUAAUUUUUGCACUCCCAGUGA